rnacentral:rRNA from 1 species
CAGUCGAGCGCCCCGCAAGGGGAGCGGCAGACGGGUGAGUAACGCGUGGGAAUCUACCCAACCCUACGGAACAACAGUUGGAAACGACUGCUAAUACCGUAUACGCCCUUUGGGGGAAAGAUUUAUCGGGGAUGGAUGAGCCCGCGUUGGAUUAGCUAGUUGGUGGGGUAAAGGCCUACCAAGGCGACGAUCCAUAGCUGGUCUGAGAGGAUGAUCAGCCACAUUGGGACUGAGACACGGCCCAAACUCCUACGGGAGGCAGCAGUGGGGAAUAUUGGACAAUGGGCGCAAGCCUGAUCCAGCCAUGCCGCGUGAGUGAUGAAGGCCCUAGGGUUGUAAAGCUCUUUCACCGGAGAAGAUAAUGACGGUAUCCGGAGAAGAAGCCCCGGCUAACUUCGUGCCAGCAGCCGCGGUAAUACGAAGGGGGCUAGCGUUGUUCGGAAUUACUGGGCGUAAAGCGCACGUAGGCGGACAUUUAAGUCAGGGGUGAAAUCCCGGGGCUCAACCCCGGAACUGCCUUUGAUACUGGGUGUCUUGAGUGUGGAAGAGGUCAGUGGAAUUGCGAGUGUAGAGGUGAAAUUCGUAGAUAUUCGCAGGAACACCAGUGGCGAAGGCGGCUGACUGGUCCACAACUGACGCUGAGGUGCGAA